GAGGAUGUCAGUUGGCGUUGAUACAAAAAAGAAAUACUGCUGCCAUUGCUUUUAUCGUGCGCAACCACUGACCCUGAAUGAUAAACCCUCUACGGUCGCAAGUUAAUUAUGCAUGAACUUACUCGAGAACAUUUUCAUGCGGACAUAAAACAGUGACUCAUUACCAGAAAUAUUUGUAACUGUUGCACUUUUCUUACCUUUUAAUUCCCUAACAUCCUGACUUCUGGGUUGUGAUAAAUCCGGUGGUGAACACACAAACUUUCCGUAUAUUAUACUUUCGUCUGAAAAUAUAAAAGCAGGAAACGGACACCAUUAACAUUUGACCUUAUAAGCAUAUUAUCUAACUCGUAGGCGUAGAGUAAACUUUUAAUAAGCAAAAAAUUACCUCUAGACCGAUCAAUUGUUAAGGCUUCGUAGUCAUAAUUUGAACUUGAAGACACAGACUCGGAAACAGAGUAAGGGCUGCCUGUACUCGACGACUUUCUAGGUAAGGCAACUGCGGAUAAAUUAAAUAUUAAUUAUACAUUAUAUUCCAGAAAUUUCUUCUUAAUCUACCUGGUGGUGUUAAUGCUGGGUUUUGAGGAAUCCAUCUAUCCACUAUUUCCUUAGUAUAAUUA